rnacentral:misc_RNA from 1 species
GUUUAAUUGAUCUUCUUCCAUAUUAUUGGGAGUGAAAAGUUCUUGAAUAUCGAGUUCUUAAAAACUCUCUGUUCACAGAAAUUCUAAAAACUGCUUUCUGCAUUCCAAUCCUCAACUUGUUUUACACACAACAAACUUUGCACAAAGUUUAUAAGAAUUUGAACAUCUCUUGGUACAAAAAGAAAAUUAAAGUUGAUAGAGAAAGGCCUCUCCAGUCACCAUCAGAAAGAAAUUCCUACUAGUCUGUCAAAAAGAAUUUUCAAUUGGUUCAUCCUUAUUCUCUUUUACCACUGUUCUCUUUUUUUUUUUUCAGCUGCCAAUUUUGAUGCCACAAAUGACAUCAUCUUGCUAUUAUGCAAAGUAAUAAUCCAUUUACAGAGUUUGUGUGGACAAAUGCAGAUGGUCUUGUGUCAUUGAUAUCUGAGGGGCACCAUAAAAUGAGCUUUUGGAGUUCUUCCAGCCAUGAUAAUCCCUGCACAUGUAAUUCCAACCUGUAAAAUCAACAAAAAAAGGAAAAUAUUUCAUAAAUGGAGACAAUGAUUACAAUAACAGUAUAUUUCUAAUUUAAGAAAAAAGGGGUGAUAGUUCUCAGUUGCUUCAUUCCUAAUCAAGGAUAUUCAAAUGAUAAUACAAACAUGAAAGAAUAAUCUCAUGCAUCUUUUAAUAGGAUGGUUCGCAUGUCAUAAGAUAUCCUUAAUCAUCUUUAAGAUGAAAAAAAUGUAGUGUAAUUCUAGCAACAUAUAUAAUAUUACAGGACAGAGAAUAAGGUAAGAUAACAUACCUAUGCUAAUCUGAAUCCAAUCCAUCCUGAGCCGCAUGCAAGCUUCUGACAUCAGAAUCACCAUAUUUGGAUGCCAAAAAACUGUAAGACACCGCAACUGCAACAAGGACACCAAAAACCAAGGCAAAUAGCUGAAAGUUAGCAAGCAGCUCGCCUCGAACCUGACUACCCACUGAUGGACAAGUGAUCUGAUCAUUCUUAAGUUGACAGCCAUCUGGAAUCAUGGGACCAUACAAGGUGAAGGCAGUCUGAUAGAACCAGAGGCCUUGAAGAGUUAUGGCAAUGCCAUUAGACAAAUCAACAGGAAAGCUGGUUGGGAGGAGAGCUCCAGCCACGGUAGAUAAAACACAGAGUCCUAUUAGGAGGACAAGGAGGAGAUGAUAGUAUCCUUCAAGGCCCUUAUGGGUUGUUGAGUGAAAGUAAAACAGUAGAUACUCUGCACAAAAUGCUGUGGCAGCAACCAGACAAAGAGCUCCUUCUGGCAAGGGUAGAAAUCUGACCUCGGAGUUACCCAGAAGGUUUGGGAAAUUAGUUGUAAUACAACAAAAUAACACUUUGAUGUUGCAUAAUGACUUAUAUUUACAAUAAAAGAAAAAAAAUUGUUGCAUGAUAGUGGUCUAGACUCUAGAUGCAUUUAGCAAUUAAUAAAUUGCUAUCAUGAACCAAAAACUUUAAUCAAUGUCAAUUUUGUUAUAUGUUCAUUUGCAACAAUCAAUAGCUUGAUGCUCAACAAGGCAAUGCCUCAAGCAACAAUACAAGCAACACCCAGAAGGGUUUGAUGUUUAAAGAUCUAAUCUUACUCAAGCCACAUGAUAGACACAAGACAUAAGGUCAAUCUUUUUGGACUGGAAACAAGUGAUUCUAAUGCAAUAUUUGGAGCCAAGAAAUGUCCUAACAAAUAAUUGAAGCCUACUAGCUAUGGUUAAUCAUUUAGUUUUCCCUGUUUUCCAUCAUAUCUUUUUUAACAAGCUGGAGCUAAAGUAUUUUAAGAAAAGGAUCAUGACAAUUUGCUGUCUUCAUGCUGCUAGUCCAAUUUAGAAAAUGUUGCACCAGUAGAGUAAUUUUCCAAAGUAGCUUUAUGCUUUAAAGCACAAAGGAAUAAUCAACAAAGUUGAACAUGUUGCUUUUCUAGUAAAGAUCUCAUGAAUUUUGUAAAUUUUGAAGUUUUCUUUUAAAUUGAUAUCAUGAACAACCUCUAAGGUCUCUGAGAUAAGUAUGAGACAAUAACCAUUUCAAGUUAUAUGCUCUCAAACACUUUUUAUCAGAGGUGCUGAAUAAGGCCAGCUGAAGACUGAAGUGCACAGUGAGCUGACAAUAACCAUUUCAAGUUCUAUGCUCUCAAACGCUUUUUAUCAGAGGUGCUGAAUAAGGCCAGCUGAAGACUGAAGUGCACAGUGAGCUGACAAUAACCAUUUCAAGUUCUAUGCUCUCAAACG